CUUGGCGCCGAUGUCGCGGCUCUUGGCCCGCAGCUUGUUGACCUGGGACUCGGCGAUGUCGGCGCGCUCCUCCGCCUCGUCCAGCUCGUGCUGCGCCUUGCGGAACUUGGCCAGGCCUUGACCUUCAGCUGGAGCUUGUCCACCAGGUCCUGCAGCCGGACCAGGUUCUUGCGGUCCUCCUCCGUCUGCCAGGUGGGCGCUGGUGUCCUGCUCCUUCUUCAGCUCCUCGGCCAUCAUGGCCGCCUGCCCGAGGAGAGAAGCCGUGGCAGAAGGAGGCCCCGGGCGCCUUCUCCGUCCCCCCGG